AACGAACGCUGGCGGCAGGCCUAACACAUGCAAGUCGAACGGACCCUUCGGGGUCAGUGGCAGACGGGUGAGUAACGCGUGGGAAUCUACCCAGUUCUUCGGAAUAACCCAGGGAAACUUGGGCUAAUACCGGAUACGCCCUUGGGGGGAAAGAUUUAUCGGAAUUGGAUGAGCCCGCGUCGGAUUAGCUAGUUGGUGGGGUAAUGGCCUACCAAGGCGACGAUCCGUAGCUGGUCUGAGAGGAUGAUCAGCCACACUGGGACUGAGACACGGCCCAGACUCCUACGGGAGGCAGCAGUGGGGAAUAUUGGACAAUGGGCGCAAGCCUGAUCCAGCCAUGCCGCGUGAGUGAUGAAGGCCUUAGGGUUGUAAAGCUCUUUCAGCGGGGAAGAUAAUGACGGUACCCGCAGAAGAAGCCCCGGCUAACUUC
rnacentral:rRNA from 1 species